ACUUAUUUUUGGUUGAAUAAAUUUUUUUACUUUUACCAAAAAAAAAAAAGGUGGCAUAACUAAUAGGGGUCAUGUAUUGCCUACUUUUUGUUAGUUCAAUUUUUGUUUUUGAACUGUGUUAGUCCAAAUUUUCAAUUGAACAAUAAGAAGAAUGAAAACACAAGGAGUUGUUGCUGGGGCAUUCUCUCCUGAAAUACCUGAACUCGGUAUCUUCCUUUAGUAAACUAAGUAUUUUCCUAAAGCAUCUAUCCUUUAGGAGUGAUUAUUAGGCAUAGUGCAAUUUGCCAUAAUAUAAUUGCAUCCAUGGAGGACUAGAAUACUGUGUCCCUCUACCUGUGCCAAUCUUGUUGAGCAAACUGCAACCUGCUCCUCAUGGAUUGGCAAACUCAUUAAUUAGCCUAUUGGUAGUGAAGAAGUUCAUUACCUCCAAUAUUUCAGCAUUUUUCGCUGUUCUUAUAUGUUAGCUGCAUAUUUGCAAAUUGCAACCUGCUCCUCAUGGAUUGGCAAACUCAUUAAUUACCGUAUUGGUAGAGAAGAGGUUCACUAUCUCCAAUACUUUAUCAUUUUUCGCUGUUCUUAUAUGUUGGCUGCUUAUCUGUUAGCUCAUGCAUCCCCUGCACUGUCUUCACGACCAGGAUUCUUAAACCUAGAAGCUGCAUAAGUUUGGGGCUUAAUUACUCUUCUCUUCCAUAGAGACCAAAGGUUAACCUUUGUCUAUAAAUGGAUUAGCCAUCACCAUCCAUGAUCACUUGAUGACCAAAGAUGCCUCGGGAACUAGCACUUUCUUCUAUUUCUUGUUGUUCCCUG
rnacentral:lncRNA from 1 species